rnacentral:rRNA from 1 species
CGCUCUUUGAAAUUUAAUUUAUAUAGAGUCUUACCUGCCCUGUGAUGAAAAUUUAACGGCCGCAGUAGCCUGACUGUGCAAAGGUAGCAUAGUAAUUUGCCUUUUAAUUGGAGGCUAGGAUGAAUGGUUUAACGAAAAUAUAACUGUCUUUGAUGUAUUAUUUAAAAUUUAUCUUUUAGGUUAAAAUUCCUAAAUUCUAUUAAGGGACGAGAAGACCCUAUUGAGCUUGAAAAGAAUGGGUUGAUGGAAGAUAUAUAAUAGUUUUUUUUCAAACCAGAAAUUUUGGUUGGGGCAACCAAGGAACACGGAAAGCUUCUUUUAAUUUUUUCUAAAAACUGCUUUAGAUCCAGUGAAUUAGAUACUGAUAAAUGGAAUUAGCUACCAUAGGGAUAACAGCGUAAUCUAUUCUGAGAGAGCUAAUCGAAGAAUGGGCUUGCGACCUCGAUGUUGGAUUAGGAUUAUUCUAAGGGUUGUAGAAGCUUUAAGGUUAGUCUGUUCGACUAUUAAAAUCCU